GCCAGCAUGGUGUAGUGGUUUGAGCAUUGGGCUAUGACCUUGGAGACCAGGGUUCGAAUCUCUGCUUGGCC